rnacentral:rRNA from 1 species
UACGAAGGGGGCUAGCGUUGCUCGGAAUCACUGGGCGUAAAGCGCACGUAAGCGGAUUGCUAAGUCAGGGGUGAAAUCCUGGAGCUCAACUCCAGAACUGCCUUUGAUACUGGCGACCUUGAGUCCGGGAGAGGUGAGUGGAACUGCGAGUGUAGAGGUGAAAUUCGUAGAUAUUCGCAAGAACACCAGUGGCGAAGGCGGCUCACUGGCCCGGUACUGACGCUGAGGUGCGAAAGCGUGGGGAGCAAACAGG